rnacentral:rRNA from 1 species
GAUGAACGCUGGCGGCGUGCCUAAUACAUGCAAGUCGAGCGAACAGAUGAGGAGCUUGCUCCUCUGACGUUAGCGGCGGACGGGUGAGUAACACGUGGAUAACCUACCUAUAAGACUGGGAUAACUUCGGGAAACCGGAGCUAAUACCGGAUAAUAUAUUGAACCGCAUGGUUCAAUAGUGAAAGACGGUUUUGCUGUCACUUAUAGAUGGAUCCGCGCCGCAUUAGCUAGUUGGUAAGGUAACGGCUUACCAAGGCAACGAUGCGUAGCCGACCUGAGAGGGUGAUCGGCCACACUGGAACUGAGACACGGUCCAGACUCCUACGGGAGGCAGCAGUAGGGAAUCUUCCGCAAUGGGCGGAAGCCUGACGGAGCAACGCCGCGUGAGUGAUGAAGGUCUUCGAAUCGUAAAACUCUGUUAUUAGGGAAGAACAAAUGUGUAAGUAACUAUGCACGUCUUGACGGUACCUAAUCAGAAAGCCACGGCUAACUACGUG